rnacentral:rRNA from 1 species
AGAGAUUGAACAUAAGAGUUUGAUCCUGGCUCAGAUUGAACGCUGGCGGCAUGCUUUACACAUGCAAGUCGGACGGCAGCACAGAGAAGCUUGCUUCUCGGGUGGCGAGUGGCGAACGGGUGAGUAACAUAUCGGAACGUACCGAGUAGUGGGGGAUAACUGAUCGAAAGAUCAGCUAAUACCGCAUACGUCUUGAGAGGGAAAGCAGGGGACCUUCGGGCCUUGCGCUAUUCGAGCGGCCGAUAUCUGAUUAGCUAGUUGGUGGGGUAAAGGCCUACCAAGGCGACGAUCAGUAGCGGGUCUGAGAGGAUGAUCCGCCACACUGGGACUGAGACACGGCCCAGACUCCUACGGGAGGCAGCAGUGGGGAAUUUUGGACAAUGGGCGCAAGCCUGAUCCAGCCAUGCCGCGUGUCUGAAGAAGGCCUUCGGGUUGUAAAGGACUUUUGUCAGGGAAGAAAAGGCUGUUGCUAAUAUCAGCGGCUGAUGACGGUACCUGAAGAAUAAGCACCGGCUAACUACGUGCCAGCAGCCGCGGUAAUACGUAGGGUGCGAGCGUUAAUCGGAAUUACUGGGCGUAAAGCGGGCGCAGACGGUUACUUAAGCAGGAUGUGAAAUCCCCGGGCUCAACCCGGGAACUGCGUUCUGAACUGGGUGACUCGAGUGUGUCAGAGGGAGGUAGAAUUCCACGUGUAGCAGUGAAAUGCGUAGAGAUGUGGAGGAAUACCGAUGGCGAAGGCAGCCUCCUGGGACAACACUGACGUUCAUGCCCGAAAGCGUGGGUAGCAAACAGGAUUAGAUACCCUGGUAGUCCACGCCCUAAACGAUGUCAAUUAGCUGUUGGGCAACUUGAUUGCUUAGUAGCGUAGCUAACGCGUGAAAUUGACCGCCUGGGGAGUACGGUCGCAAGAUUAAAACUCAAAGGAAUUGACGGGGACCCGCACAAGCGGUGGAUGAUGUGGAUUAAUUCGAUGCAACGCGAAGAACCUUACCUGGUCUUGACAUGUACGGAAUCCUCCAGAGACGGAGGAGUGCCUUCGGGAGCCGUAACACAGGUGCUGCAUGGCUGUCGUCAGCUCGUGUCGUGAGAUGUUGGGUUAAGUCCCGCAACGAGCGCAACCCUUGUCAUUAGUUGCCAUCAUUCAGUUGGGCACUCUAAUGAGACUGCCGGUGACAAGCCGGAGGAAGGUGGGGAUGACGUCAAGUCCUCAUGGCCCUUAUGACCAGGGCUUCACACGUCAUACAAUGGUCGGUACAGAGGGUAGCCAAGCCGCGAGGUGGAGCCAAUCUCACAAAACCGAUCGUAGUCCGGAUUGCACUCUGCAACUCGAGUGCAUGAAGUCGGAAUCGCUAGUAAUCGCAGGUCAGCAUACUGCGGUGAAUACGUUCCCGGGUCUUGUACACACCGCCCGUCACACCAUGGGAGUGGGGGAUACCAGAAGUAGGUAGGAUAACCGCAAGGGGUCCGCUUACCACGGUAUGCUUCAUGACUGGGGUGAAGUCGUAACAAGGUAGCCGUAGGGGAACCUGCGGCUGGAUCACCUCCUUUCUA